GGGGCUUCGGCCCCCAGAAGGCACGUUUCUCGGGAGCUUCCCCUCCGUAAGGUGGGGAUGUGUCACCACACCUGGUCACAGCAGCAGGACACGGUGCUUUGGCAAUAGCAUAACUAUGGUGAAGAGCCCGCUGGCUCCUGGUUUGAAAAAGGAGUCCCUCAUGAGCAUGGCAGAUACCUCCCAGAAGCACACGUCCUUGUCUGGGAGAGGAGGAGGAGGGCAGGCGGUCCCAGAACGAGGAGGAACGAGGCGUUUCAGCCCGUGGUGCUGCCGCCGCUUGCUGGGGUCACUUGGGGACCCGUGGAGCACAAACCUUGGGCUUGGUCCCGCUCCUCCUCCCGGCGGCCUCUCGCUGAUGACAGAUAGGGCAUGCCUCUGUGCUUCCUCGCUGCUCGCCACAUUCUCUGAGAGCCUCGACGCGGGUGGGACGUGGCCCUGCUCGGGGUGGUGGCUGAGCUCUUCUCCGUGCUGGUGCUCGGGGAGGGCUGGGUGCCCCAGGCGCUGGAGCAGCUUGGUGUUCUCUGCCAGCCCAGCUGGGUGGCCCCGAGGACCACAGGCAUUUCCCCGCGUCCUGCCCAAGCUGUGCCCAGAAAGCGCAGCCCCUGAAGACACAAUGUCCCAAACCACAGCACUCCUCGGCACCCUUCGCUGUCCUGCAUCUGUACCAAAGCACAGCGGAGGAGCCAGGCGAUGCUUCCUAUAGCAGACCAUGCACUCCAUGCAGACCCUGCUUGCAGAUCUCCACUGGGGCUCUUUGGCAGCUUGCAAAGAGCAACCAGCACUGCACAGCUCUCCCUGGUCACCCAGAAUCGCUCCCUUUGCAGAGUGGCAGAGCAGGAAAGGAACACGAGGAGCUUCCUUGGCCUCUCAGCCCCAGCGAUGGGAUGGGACCAACCCCUGGGUGCUUCCCCUGCCCUCCUGCAGCGUGCCAAGAGCCGGGCGAACGCCCACCACUUGCUGCCCACUCCCUUGCAUCGUCCUCAGGGGAGCCGACGUGUGCAGCGCAGUGCUUUGUUUUGGUAGCUGUGCCUUCUUGUUGUUGUUAUUUUUAAUCUGCAUAUUGUUUGGGAUUUGCGUCAGAGGCAGCAGGUUGAAGAAAGGCACCUGGCUCUGCACGGAACGUGCCAAGGCUGGGAAUGGCCCCAGCUCCUGGGCUGCGGGUGCCGCCAGCAGCACCUCGCACUGUCCAGCCCUCACCCCAUCACCCACAGCAUCCAGACCCAAAACCGGGGUGUAAACCCCGAGGCAGAGCAGAGCCUGCAGCCCGAGGGGUGACACCGAAGGGCUGAGCAAAGGCAGGUCCCAGACACAGGGAGCCCGAGGCUUGCUGCGUGCAUCCGUCCCACGAGGCACAGCCCAGCUUCGGCAACGGAGAAUGGAGACAAAGCCCAGCGAGGUGGGCGCACAAGGGUGAAGCUGCCCUGUUGGGGACACGGGAGGAAUGGCAGAGCCCAGGGGAAGCCACAAGGCUGUGGCUCCAGCAUGGCCUCCCUCCCCUCAGCCUUGCUGUUCUCCUCCUGCUCCCCUGGGCACCCAGGUCUCUGCUCUCCUCCUCCCCACCUGCAGGAGAUCCCCUUCUUCCCUGCCCUGCUCGGCACUCAGUAACCUUUCUGUGCGCUGUGCAUGCCUCAAGGAAUUAAAAAAAGACACACCAGGAUCUCACUGAAAGCAACCAACUGUUCCCCUCGCAUGUAAAUGUUGCU
ensembl:lncRNA